AAUCUUGUUUCCCUCUUUCAUUUCUUGUAGGUUGAUUUUCCCCAUGGCUGCUAUUAUCCAUCACAAAUGUCAUUCAUGACCAUACCUGGCACAAACUGGUUCCUCUUGCCAGGAACACUGUUUCUUCUGUACCUUUUGAUCUCGGACAUCCAACUCUAACUCUGCUCCUCCAUUAAGAAUCUCCUCCCCUCCCCGUAUAUUAUUGUGCUAGCUGGUUAAAGUGACUUUUGCAAAGGUAUGUGCAAUCUUACCUGCUCGGGGAAAGAUUUUUGGAGCUGUCAAGCUGCUCUGGCUCAGGGUUGUCCCCAUCAUGACUGCUUUCAAGUAUUUCUUCAUUCUGAAGUGAAAGAAAUUUUGUUUGCCCUUCAAGCUUCCUUCAGGAACAUCAAGGACUCAUUCUCAAUAGCAGUUCCUCCUCUGUGGCAUUACAAUGUCUGAAACACCCACUGGACUUUGAGCUCCAGCCUUAUUCAUCUUUGAAUCUACAACAUGCAAUACCUUCAGAAAGAAUAUUGGUCCUUUGAUUCAAAUAAUGGACCAAGAAAACUGACCACAGACCAACCUACCAAUUGCUGCUAUAUUUCUUUGUUAGAGUUUCCUUAUGAGUCUUACUGAAUUAUAAGAUGACAUUCUUUUAAAGCAGAGCAACAAGUUUCAUGUAAAAUCAUAUCCUGCUUCCCUUCAGUUAUCCUGACUUGGAGAAACUUCUAGGGCAUCCUGAAGAAGA